GACGAACGCUGGCGGCGUGCCUAAUACAUGCAAGUCGAGCGGAUGAAAGAGGAGCUUGCUCCUCUAGAUUCAGCGGCGGACGGGUGAGUAACACGUGGGCAACCUGCCCUGUAGAUUGGGAUAACUCCGGGAAACCGGGGCUAAUACCGAAUAAUCCUUCGGACCUCAUGGUCCGAUGUUGAAAGACGGUUUCGGCUGUCACUACAGGAUGGGCCCGCGGCGCAUUAGCUAGUUGGUGAGGUAACGGCUCACCAAGGCCACGAUGCGUAGCCGACCUGAGAGGGUGAUCGGCCACACUGGGACUGAGACACGGCCCAGUCUCCUACGGGAGGCAGCAGUAGGGAAUCUUCCACAAUGGACGAAAGUCUGAUGGAGCAACGCCGCGUGAGUGAGGAAGGUUCUCGGAUCGUAAAACUCUGUUGUGAGGGAAGAACAAGUACCGGAGUAACUGCCGGUGCCUUGACGGUACCUCAUUAGAAAGCCACGGCUAACUACGUGCCAGCAGCCGCCGUAAUAC
rnacentral:rRNA from 1 species